rnacentral:tRNA from 1 species
GCUCUAAUAGCCCAAUUGGCAGAGGCGUGCGGCUUAAACCCGUUUUAGUAUAGGUUCGAAUCCUGUUUAGAGCACCA